UACGUAGGGUGCAAGCGUUAAUCGGAAUUACUGGGCGUAAAGCGUGCGCAGGCGGUUAUGCAAGACAGAGGUGAAAUCCCCGGGCUCAACCUGGGAACUGCCUUUGUGACUGCAUCGCUGGAGUACGGCAGAGGGGGAUGGAAUUCCGCGUGUAGCAGUGAAAUGCGUAGAUAUGCGGAGGAACACCGAUGGCGAAGGCAAUCCCCUGGGCCUGUACUGACGCUCAUGCACGAAAGCGUGGGGAGCAAACAGG
rnacentral:rRNA from 1 species